AGCGAACGCUGGCGGCAGGCCUAACACAUGCAAGUCGAACGAACAUUUCGGGGUUAGUGGCGGACGGGAGAGUAACCCGAGGGGACGUUCCCUUAUGAUCAGACUAACUCAGAGAAACGGGUACUAAUACCAAAUGUGGCCUUAGGGGGGAAGAUUAAUCGCCGUUCGAGCGGCCCGCGUCUGAUUAGCUAGUUGGGUGAGGUAGUGGCUAACCAAGGCGAGGGUCAGUAGCUGGGCUGCGAGGCUGAUCAGCCACAUUGGGACCGAGACACGGCCCAAACUCGGACGGGAGGGAGCAGUGGGGUAUACUGCGGAAUGGGCGAAGGCCUGACGCAGCCACGCCGGGUGAAUGAUGAAGGGGUUAGGAUUGCAAUAUUCUUUCGCAGGAGACGAUAAUGACGGUACCCGGAGAAGAAGCCCCGGCUAACUACGUG
rnacentral:rRNA from 1 species